UUUGAGCCACAAAAAAAAAAAAGGGGGUCGGAUAUCAAGGGAUUUGAUAACAGAGAAAACCAGACUUGGAGUAGUUCGAGUUUGGUUCUUAAUAGAAUGGAUCCUCUUUGUCGUCGAUGCAGAUGGAGAUUAUCCAGGGAAGAAUAUUCUUAUUUUGAAUUGAUAGUUGCAGGCACUUACUCCUUGAUAUGUACGGGAUUUUUGUCGGUAUCUUUCUUAUACGCGGGUUGGUAUCCCGUGAAAGAUCCAGAUCCCGAUCGAAUUAUUUUUCCCUGGCCUGUCUACCUAUUUACUGGCCUCCUUUUCGGCUUCUUCACCCUUCGGAUCGCCGAAUUGUUGUACAUUGAUGUAUGUAAGAAGCUGAGAAGAUUGAGAAGAUUUCUGGGGAAACAAGAAGAAGAAGAGUUAGAAGAAGACGAAGAAGAAGAAGAAGAAGAAGAACGUUGCCCUAUCUGCCUCGAGUAUAUGGAAAGAUGUUAUGUUUGUGUGGUAGGGCUACCAUAUUGUAUGCAUAGAUUCCACCGUUAUUGCAUUGAUAAAUGGCUUUUCAGGAGAUCUUGUUGUCCUACAUGCCGUUCUUUUGCGUCUCCCAGCAGCACCCAUCUGGAAGCAUGGUCGUAAAGUUUGGAAUUGUUUACUGAAGAAGCUAAUAAGUUGAGGGAUCUGACGAAGAUAUUGAAAACUUGCAACAGUCCUACAUUGAAAAGGAAAUUUUUUGAGACCCAAGUAUCCAUGAAAUCCGGUCGGAGAAGAGACAGGGAGUACUUUUCCAGUACUACAGAGUAUAUAGGCACCUUUCUCAUAAGAUUGGUUUCGAGCUUCUGGGAAAGAUGCUCUGAAAGGAAUAUGGUGAACCAAAACACACGCCGUCGCCGUGGAAAUUCCGAUCCGGAGGCAAUUAAUCAACCUGCUUAUCCUACUGCCACAUCCAGUGAUCGAAUCCCUCACGUCGCUACUAACAAUCAGAAAAGCAGGGGUCUUGAGAGCCAUGAAACGCAUCAGUAUCUCCCGAAUUCCCGCCACGUCUGUCUCGACUCUCGAAUCCCUAUUUAAUCAUCAUUACUCAUACUUGGAUUUAUAUGGAUUUUAUACGGAUAUCAUCUCUUGGUGUUUAUAGGGUCCUCAGUAAUCCUAGGAUGUUCUUAGAAAAUCUAGCUUAUAUGCCAGGUCUCCAGGUAUGUUCUCAAACUAAGCUCAUCUCUUUGGACUCUCAAUUGUGUCUAUGGUAGAUAGACAACACCAACAGUCAGAAUAAGAAGUUUGAGUAUAGGAGAUUUGACAAUGAAUUGCUUUAAAUUUUUUGGCUUUCUCUGUUGGUCUUGGCGUUGUAGAAAUUUACAAGAAACUAAACUCACUUUUGUUGAGUCUCAGUUUUGUGUAUGGUAGAUAGACAACACAAACAGUCGAAUAAGAAGUUUGAGUAUAUUAGAUUUUACAAUGUAUCGCUCUAAAUGUCUGUUUUCUCUGUUGGUCUUGGCGUUGUAGACAUUUACAAGAAACUAAAGUCACCUUUGUGGAGUUUGGCGUUUUGUGUAUGUUAGAUAGACAACACAAACAGUCGAAUAAGAAGUUUGAGUAUGGGAGAUUCUUGAAAUGUCUGUUUUCUCUGUUGUUGGCGUUAUAGAAAUUUACAAGAAACUCAACUCACCUUUGUGGAGUCUCAGUUUUGUGUAUGGUAGAUAGACAACACAAACAGUUGAAUAAGAAGUUUGAGUAUUUUAGAUUUUACAAUGUAUCGCUCUAAAUGUCUGUUUUCUCUGUUGGUCCUGGUGUUGUAGACAUUGUAAAAAAUCUCCUACACCAGAAGGGCUAAUCACUCAUGUGAAAGCAGUACGGUGUUUCAAAUGUUUGAUACCCUCUUAUGUAAAACUUAUAUCUAGAAAGAUUGUAGAGCAAUACAUUGUGUGAUUUUAGCUAGUUUACUAAUUUGUCUAUGUAUUUCUGUAGUCGAAGUAUGGUGUGUGGUUUAAGAUUGUCCGGGCUCUGAGGGUAAAAGAGCUCUUCGAGAGGCUUGAGAGUUGGCUAGAUUACCCUUUGAUCAGCUUUCUAAAGGUGAUCUCUAUCCACCUAUUCUCCAUUCAUAUCUCUGGGUGUUUCUUCUAUCAACUUGCCACCACUUCAGAUGGAGUUCCAGAAGUAAAUCACACCUGGUUGUCCCAAAUUCAAAUCAGAGAUAAAAAUCUCACAGAACUAGGGAUUGCACACAGAUAUAUAGUAUCUGUUUACUUUGCUUCUGUCACCUUGUCUACUGUUGGUUAUGGAGACAUUCAUGCUGAUAUUAUUCAUUCAAGUAUUUAUCAUAUUUUCAUUGAUAAUUAAUGAUAAAUGAAAUUAAAUGCUAGUGUCCUAACUUUUUCAAUACUCCAAAUUAACGUUUAAAAUCUUGAGAAUUGGUUAAUAAAA